UACAGAGGGGGCAAGCGUUGUCCGGAAUUACUGGGCGUACAGCGCACGCAGGUGGUCAUUCAAGUGUGGUGUGAAAGCCCCGCGCUUAACGCGGGGAGGCCAGCACAGACUGGACGACUAGAGGGGUGCAGAGGGUUGGGGAAUUGCCGGUGUAGUGGUGAAAUGCGUAGAGAUCGGCAGGAACACCAAGGACGAAGGUACCAACCUGGGCACCAACUGACACUGAAGUGCGAAGGCGUGGGGAGCGAACCGG
rnacentral:rRNA from 1 species